GGCCUGUUGGUCUAGUAGCAUGAUUCUCCCUUCGGGUUAACACUCGGUCAUCACGUGGCCAGCAAUGGGGGAGGUCCGGGGUUCAAUUCCCCGACAGGCCC